CCCAGAUCGUUUACCGUGAAAAAAUUAGAGUGUUCAAAGCAGGCAGAUUCAAUUUUCUGCCACCGAAUACAUUAGCAUGGGAUAAUGGAAUAGGACCCUGUCCUCCUAUUUUCAGUUGGUUUUGGCAGCGCGAGGACUAGGGUAAUGAUUAAUAGGGAUAGUUGGGGGCAUUAAUAUUUAAUUGUCAGAGGUGAAAUUCUUGGAUUUAUGAAAGAUUAACUUCUGCGAAAGCAUCUGCCAAGGGAGUUUUCAUUAAUCAAGAACGAAAGUUAGGGGAUCGAAGACGAUCAGAUACCGUCGUAGUCUUAACCAUAAACGAUGCCGACCAGCGAUUAGGAGACGUUGAAUACAAAACACCACCAUCGGCGCGGUCGUCCUUGGCGCGUUCGUGUUCACGCACGGGCGCGCGAGGGCGGCUUAGCCCGAUGGCACCGGUGAAUGACUCCCCUAGCAGCUUGUGAGAA
rnacentral:rRNA from 1 species